CAGGAAUCCAGCUGACUGAUCCCCCCAUAGUCCUGUAGGACAGUGUUUGACUCUAAAAUUUCAUGAGGUUCCCAGGACUGCUCUGUAGCUAAGGGAAGACAUAAAACAUUCAAUACCUGAAAUCAUUAUGGAAACAUCCCAGAAAAUGACUCCAUUCAUCCUUCUUCACAGGGCACUUGUUUUCCCCGGUCCUAGUUGCUGUGUCUGCUCUCUGGCUUCUCUGCUCUGUGUCCAGCUGGUUAGGAAAGCAACUGAAGAACAGGAACAGAGAUGAAAGAAGAGAAGAGACUACGUGUUUCCUCUUGGUCAGGAUGCUGUUGGUCAGGACCUCCCAGCUGCCGGGUAUCCCAGGACUGCCUUCGGUAUGUAAGUGAUUCUUCUUAUCAGUCUGAUUUGGGCUAGAGUGCUCAGACUUUGUUUCUCUGAUUUGUUUUCCCAAAAUGUCUGGGCCUUGCUGGUUGUUUCAAAGCAAACAUGAGAUAUUUUUGGACAUUAGUGAGAAAUUUCAAUGGGUGUCAAGGAAAAUCACAGUGUCAUUUGUCUGUAAAAAGAUUUUGGCUGCCAGUAUUCCAUCUGCAACUUACUUACCCAGCUGUGUAGCACUGAAUGAAGCAGCUGCCGAGCAAAACAGCACGGAGACAAGUUGCGACUUUUUUGAGUUGUAAUUCUGCUUCUGUGACUGACUUGGGACUUUGGGAUGCAAAUAAAUAAACCUUUUCUUAUUUAGCCUCAGCUCCUGGUCUAAUUCCUUUAGGAUAUUUUCCUGGCCCCCAUCACUCAAUUCAUCCUGAAAUCUAAAUAACCUAAUUUCCAUCUGUACACUGGAACACUCCCAUAAUUACUACAACCAAACAUUUCUGUGUUCCCGCAUGUGUCUGACCUGCCUCCACUAUUACACUGUCAGCCCUACCAUGGCACAGACUCCUGAAUGGGACACAGCUUGUAUUGCUCGCCUUGGUGUCCUUGGCUCUGGACAUGGCAUCUGGCAUACAGUAGACACUCGUACACAUUGCUGAAUACAAAAAUGGACCAUGUUGAUUCUAUAUGCUGAGACAUGAGGAUAUUUGAUAAACAGUUGUUAACUAGUUUAACUUUCCUGUUCACCUUUUCUUCUAUGAGUGUUUUUCAAAGAUUGCAUGGGGAGAUCAGAGGGCUCCCAGUUAGAUGAUGAGGAGGUUAGGACAGAGAUUCUCAAAUAUUUCAUCAGCUCUACCACACUUUGUUUGGAUUCCCAUGGAUCACUACCAGAAAUGUGCACUUGGGCAGUGCUCACCGGUCAAGGCAUAGUUCUGUAAAGACUCUGUUCUUCUUCCCCUAAACUUUCCUUUGCCUUUGAUGACAGCUGGUUUUAAAAAAGAGGAAAGAUAAUUUCUGUCAUCGAGACUCUUAGCAUGGAGAAAUAAAUGACAAAAUCAGAGACCUGACACAUUUUCCUAUUGCAUGUAACAUGGCAUUGGUCUUUGAACUUUGACUCUGGGGAGGAAUUUCUCAGUUAUUCCUCACUGUCAGGGAAUACAGUAGGGUUAUCAGAGUUGUGUGUGUCUGUUUGGAAACCUGAGUUCCCCAGUGACCCUGAGGAGCCUGAGGAAGACCAAAUCCAGGAGGAAUAGAGACUUACUCUUUCAACACUGGCGGGUCCAUGCCUGUCCUAUGAGCGUUAAGAACUUGAACUGUGAUCCCAAAACCAAAUUCUGCGAAGGAUCGCUCCCACAUUCUUUAUUUCAAGAGAGACCUCCUAUUCUGUGUUUUCUAUGCCCUUGAAGGGCUGUUCUCGGGCGGCACCAGAGCCAUAUGUUGGCUCCAAAUGAGAAAGCAGGCAAAACAGCAGGGGAUUAGAGUUUCCCCUGAUGAACAAACACGGGAUCUGAAGCAGAAACCCCACAUCUUCAGAAGAGAAAAUAGAAAAGCCAGCCUCUGCUUACCCUUCUAUCUCAGCUCAGCAGUUCACAUCCAGGAGCUUCCAUGGGUGGGCCCUUGAAAAAGCAGCAGCUGAUGUGGAUGUGACUUGGUGGAGCCUGACAGAUCCUCAUCUGACAGCUUCUCAGGAUGCCAUCAGGUCAGGCAUAUUUGAAGUAAAUUUGUUGUCUUCUUGAACGUGGGAACCUUUUUAGGUCAUCUGAUAUGCUAGCUACAUUGCUAGAACUAGCUCCUUACUUAUGAUUAUAUUCAUAAACAUCUUUGAUUUUUUUAUUUUUGGCUCCACAUUUAUAAAUUAUCCCACUAUGCUAUCCAUUUAAUGAGUGGGGCUACUAUCAUAUUUUAAUAACUCCCAAAGUCUAUAUUUGCUUAUUUUAUGAGAGUCAAGCAGAAAUAACUUUCCUCUGUUUUAUUUUUCUAUGUAGGAAGCCUUUGAUAAUUUAUCAGCAUCCAGUGAAAAAGGUCCUGAAAGUUUUUUGAAUUGUAUUUCUCUGAAUUUUCAUUGACAAUUAGUUCCUACCAGAAGGGAUACUAAUGUAGAAAAGAAUGCGUAAUGGUCCAAGAGACUGACAUAUUUUUUAGCAACUACUUCCUGCAGGCUCAACCCAGCCCAACAGUAGGGAAACACAGCGGUCAUCAUUAGGAUAUCUCACCCUGAUAUGAGGACAAUGGAUAACCUAGUACACGGAUUGAUGACCUAGUACAU